rnacentral:rRNA from 1 species
AGAGUUUGAUCAUGGCUCAGGACGAACGCUGGCGGCGUGCUUAACACAUGCAAGUCGAACGAACUUUCAUCCUUCGGGUUGAAAGUGAGUGGCGAACGGGUGAGUAACACGUGAGCAACCUGCCCUUGACACUGGAAUAACAGUUGGAAACAGCUGCUAAUACCGGAUAUGACCUCUGACGACAUCGUCGGGAGGUGGAAAGCUCCGGCGGUCAAGGAUGGGCUCGCGGCCUAUCAGCUUGUUGGUGAGGUAACGGCUCACCAAGGCUUCGACGGGUAGCCGGCCUGAGAGGGCGACCGGCCACACUGGGACUGAGAUACGGCCCAGACUCCUACGGGAGGCAGCAGUGGGGAAUAUUGCACAAUGGGCGCAAGCCUGAUGCAGCAACGCCGCGUGCGGGAUGACGGCCUUCGGGUUGUAAACCGCUUUCAGUAGGGACGAAGUUCACAUGACGGUACCUACAGAAGAAGGACCGGCCAACUACGUGCCAGCAGCCGCGGUAAUACGUAGGGUCCGAGCGUUAUCCGGAAUCAUUGGGCGUAAAGAGCUCGUAGGCGGUUCAGCAAGUCGGCUGUGAAAGUCCGGGGCUCAACCCCGGAAUUGCAGUCGAUACUGCUGUGACUCGAGUCCGGUAGAGGAGAACGGAAUUCCCGGUGUAGCGGUGAAAUGCGCAGAUAUCGGGAGGAACACCAGUAGCGAAGGC